rnacentral:rRNA from 1 species
GCUGCGAGCGAACAGGGAAGAGCCCAGCACCGAAUCCCGCGGCCGAUACCGGACGCCGGGAAAUGUGGUGUUAGGGAGGGUCCAUUAUCCCGAGGUUAUGCGGUGCGUCCAAGUCCUUCUUGAACGGGGCCACAGCCCAUAGAGGGUGCUAGGCCCGUAGUGACCGCUGCUAAUCGCGGGAGGAUCUCUCCUCAGAGUCGGGUUGCUUGAGAGUGCAGCCCUAAGUGGGUGGUAAACUCCAUCUAAGGCUAAAUAUGACCACGAGACCGAUAGCGAACAAGUACCGUGAGGGAAAGUUGAAAAGCACUUUGAAGAGAGAGUUAAAGAGUACGUGAAACCGUUUAGGGGUAAACCUGAGAAAUCCGAAAGGUCGAAGGGAGAAAUUCAUUCGCGUCUCGCUAUUAGCGUUAAGCGGUCGUGUGACGGAGAACGUUCGCGCGUUCACCGCGCCUUCCGUUUUUCGAUCCGAUGGCGAACGCGUGCACUUUUCUCCUGGUAGGACGUCGCGAUCCGUUGGGUGUCGGUCUACGGCUCUCGGUGGAGCCCGUGCGUACGGCUUGCCGUCACGCGCGGACCCGAGUGUCCCGGCUGACUCGCUCGACGGUAUACGAAAGGUUUAAGGCCGCUCUUUUUUGAGCGUUCGGCUCGUUGCAAGCGCGCCGGAUGUGUUGGCGAUCGGACCUAGCGCCGGUUCUGACCUCCGGUGACUGUUGGCGACGAAGUUCUCGAACAGACCUCUAACCGAUCUGCGAC